rnacentral:lncRNA from 1 species
UCCGGGUCUACCGGAAACUGCGCUCUAGGCGUUCGCCCCCCGCGGUCCGCUUCCGGGUUUGCACGAAAUUGCGCGCGCAUCCUAGAGGCCGGACUGGCUGGGACCAGGGCGGGCCGGGACAAAGCCUGGGCCGGGCCUGCGCUUCCGUUCGCUUGACUGGCUGCGCUUGUUUUCAGGGUUUUGGUCUGAAAACGGAUCUUACCUGCGCAGAGCAAAAUCGGUUGUAGAUUAUAUCCACGAAAAUUCCUUCUAUUAAAAUGAAUUUCAAGUCCCACCUACCCUGGAAGCAGAAAGAGAGAGAAGAGAGAGAGUAAAGAGAAAGAGAAAAGAAAGAGAAGUUGAAAAAGAGAAAGAAAACCAAGAAAGAAAGAGAAAAAAACCGAAAAUAAAUGGACAAGAAAGAAAAGUAAGGAGGGAAGGGAAGGGAGGAAGGGAAGGGAAGCUUUAGGAAUUGAAUUAACACACUUUGGAAUUGUCUGUGAAGGGGAUGAUGCAAGCUAAAAUGUGAAAUGCAAAACCCUGCCAGGGUAGAAUGUUCUAUUUCAUGCCAGUGCCCAUAGAAGAUAAAUACUUUUCAUUUAUCUUCCCCAUUCACUCUAGACGGUGAAGGUCAACCCUGUGCUCAAUUCCAGAGACUUUCCUAGGGACAUCGUGUUGGGCAUGGAGGACUAAGGCCAGUGUGAAGAUAAGUCACCGAUUCUUUAAAAAAAAAAAGCCAGUAACUUAUAAAAAUAGCCAUAAACGACGUAGUUUUUUGUUGUUGUUGUUGUUUUGAGACAGCGUCUCCCUCUGUCCCCCAGGCGGGAGUACAGUGGCAGGCACUCAGCUCACUGUAACCUCCGCCUCCUGGGUUCAAGUGAUUCUCUUGCCCCAGCCUCCAGAGUAGCCACCACGCCCGGUCCAACUUAGUUUUUUAAUACUUUUUAAAAUUUUAAGACAGGGUCUCUGCCACCGAGGCUGAAAUGCAGUGGCGCAAUCAUAGCUCACUGCAACCUUGACUUCCUGGGGUCCUGGGCAGGUGACCCCCUGUCUCAGCCUGCCGAGUAGCUGUGAGUAAAGGCCUGUGCCUCUCCACUGUGCUAAUUUUCUACUGUUUGUUGCUUUGUUUUUAAUAGAGAUGUAGUCUGGUUUUGUUGCCCAGGCUGGUCUCCAGCUUCUAGCCUCAAGCAGUCUUCCCAUCUGCUCCUACCAAAGUGCUCGGAUUAUAGGCAUGAAUCACCUUGCAUGGGAGAUAAGGACCCCCACAUCAAGCCCUCAGGUUAUUUUUGAAACACAAAUACAUAAGGCCCACAAGCAGGCCCAUUGGCUGCAGACAGUGGGGUCACCUGAAGAACUUUUCUUUGAUCUGAGUACCAACUUCUCACCUAGGUCACUGGGAUCCUGGACUACGGCACUGCUCCAGGCAGGCCUGGUUAUCCUGCUUGAGGCAGCAAUCCUCUUGAGCCUAGUGAAAUGCAACUGGCUGUACCUCAAUGAUGUUGCCCUGAGAUUCUGCCAGUCGAGGUAUUACUUCAAUCUCCUGAGACCAGCCUCUACCUCCAGAUCCAGGGAGGUCAGUGCACAUGUAAAUGGACUAGCUUUAUUAAAGGGGAUAUCUGGGCCAGGCGUGGUGGCUCACGCCUGUAAUCCCAAUACUUUGGGAGGCCGAGGAGGGCAGAUCACCUGAGGUCGGGAAUUAGAGACCAGCCUGGUUAACAUGGUGAAACGAAGUCUCUACUAAAAAUACAAAAAAAAAAAAAAAAAAAAUUAGCCAGGCAUGGUGGCACACGCCUGUAGUCCCAGCUACUCGAGAGGCUGAGACACAAGAAUUGCUUGAAUCUGGGAGGUGGAGGUGCAGUAAGCCAAGAUUGCGCCACUGCACUCCAGCCUGGGAGACAGAGCGAGACUCCGUCUCAAAAAAUAUAAAAAUAAAAGGGAUAUCUGGAUUGGCGGAGAGACUGCAGGACAGCAUUCAAGUGGGGUUGAAUUGGCCCAGUUGCAUCUGACUUCUCACUUGUAGUUCCCAAGAAUGAAUAUAGAAUGUGCUGGAAAAGCAACAUCCUGAGAGGAAGGGACCGGUGAGAAAAGGACAGGAUGUGUUCCAGAUCCCCAGAACAGGAUCCCCUUUGUUGCUUUAGGCCAACGUGCCAUGCAUCCCUGGAGCAUGAAACCCAGGAUGGGCCGCCUUCCAGCCUCCCACAGCUGUGAUGCAAGUUGAACACAUACAGAGAGACUGCAUCUGCACUGGGUGGUUUUCCUGAGCCUUGGGGAGCAGAAUGCAUGAAUCCCAGGUAUCUGCCGAUCUGUAUGUAACAAAUUCACUUCAUGUAACUUACUGUGUGUCCGUGAGAUUAUCUCUCACUCAACUCAGACACAUUGGCAACCAGUGUGCAGUGAACCUGCUUCACAAGCAAGGAUGUGGAGAAACUAUUUUCGUACAUUUUGUGGGAAUCUGAAAUACUGCGGUCAGUAUGGAAAGCAGUAUCAUGGGAAACUUCCUCAACUCAAGAUCACCUACCAAUCCUUACAGAAUCAGAAUCAUCAUACAAACUGGUGAAAGCAUAGUUUCCCCUAGAGGUUGGGAUGAGGGCAAGAAUGUCCCCUCUUAUCACUACUAUUCCACACAAUAUGAAAGGUUCCAGCCAGUGAAAUAAAGGAAAAAGAAAUAAAAGUGACAGGCUGGGUGUGGUGUCUGAGGCCUGUAAUCACAGUGCUUUGGGAGGCUGAGGAAGGAGGGUGGCCUGAGGACAGGACAAAAAAAAUAGUGUACCAACAGAAAAUAUGUUGGUUGUGCAGGCUAAUACCUUUCCCAAAGGAAGGUAGCUACAUCCCUAUGACCUGUGUUACUGGAUAUAUCAAAAGGGAGUUUGCAAAUGUGGUCUAGAUAAGGAUCUUUAGAUAGACAUCCUGAAUUAUAUGGUCAAAGUGAUAGAAUCACAAGGUUCAAUAUCAGAAGGGUGCAGGUGGAUGCGAAGGGACAGAGACAGUGGUGAUGUGUUGAAAAUAGAGGGAUAAAGAGAUUUUUUUUCUCACCUUUAAAGAUGGAGGAAGUGGACCAUGAGUCAAAGGAUGUAAGUGGCCUCUGGAACCUACAAAGGGUAAGGAAACAAAUUCUCCCCUGGAGAUUAAUGAAGAAUCACAGAACUAUGGACCCAU